rnacentral:rRNA from 1 species
GAGUUUGAUCGUGGCUCAGAUUGAACGCUGGCGGCAUGCCUUACACAUGCAAGUCGAACGGCAGCAUGAUCUAGCUUGCUAGAUUGAUGGCGAGUGGCGAACGGGUGAGUAAUACAUCGGAACGUGCCCUGUAGUGGGGAGUAACUAGUCGAAAGAUUAGCUAAUACCGCAUACGACCUGAGGGUGAAAGUGGGGGACCGGCAAGGCCUCAUGCUAUAGGAGCGGUCGAUGUCUGAUUAGCUAGUUGGUGGGGUAAAGGCCCGACCAAGGCGACGAUCAGUAGCUGGUCUGAGAGGACGAUCAGCCACACUGGGACUGAGACACGGCCCAGACUCCUACGGGAGGCAGCAGUGGGGAAUUUUGGACAAUGGACGAAAGCCUGAUCCAGCAAUGCCGCGUGUGUG